CAGCAGCCGCGGUAAUACCGAGGGUGCGAGCGUUAAUCGGAUUUACUGGGCGUAAAGCGUGCGUAGGCGGCUUCUUAAGUCGGAUGUGAAAUCCCUGAGCUUAACUUAGGAAUUGCAUUCGAUACUGGGAAGCUAGAGUAUGGGAGAGGAUGGUAGAAUUCCAGGUGUAGCGGUGAAAUGCGUAGAGAUCUGGAGGAAUACCGAUGGCGAAGGCAGCCAUCUGGCCUAAUACUGACGCUGAGGUACGAAAGCAUGGGGAGCAAACAGGAUUAGAUACCCCCGUAGUCCCUGUCUCUUACAC
rnacentral:rRNA from 1 species